CUUCAGGGCAGAUUCUCUCUAUGUAGACUUCCAGCUUAGCAACAGAGCUCCUUGCACCUGUGUCUGUGUUAAAAGUAACUGCUGUGGUGCUGAAGAUGCCACUCUCUACAGUGCUCAGAUGAUAUAAAGCAGUGAAGAAUCUGACGCCUGAUAUUUUCUCUGUUCAAUACGAGGAAAACAUUCAAUGCUGUUCACAGAAAAUGGAAAGAGAAAGAUUCUGACAGACCCUGACAGUGCAACCAUUGCAAGGCACAUGAGGAGUCAUGCAGAAAAAAUGAUCAUGUACUUCAGGCAACUUCAAGGAGAAGCUCUUAAACACCCUUAGACACAGAUAUGUCUGGAGGUUAAUGAUUGAUAAAAGGCUGUCAUGAAUUAAUUACAAAUAUGGAAAUAAAUACAUUCUUUAUUUUAACU